rnacentral:lncRNA from 1 species
AACAGCGACAAUAUCAACAUACUGGUUAUACAAUGUACCAGCAGGAUAGAACAGCGGCGUCUGGUGUUGGAGGAGUAUGGGGUUUUGGACAGUCCAGAGAUGGAGCUGAGCCCAGAGGACCCAUCUACAGGUGGUUCAUCGCCCCUUGAUUCAUCAUCUCCCUGGCCUGGUUCAUCACCUCUCCGGCCCCUCUCCCCAACGCCCAGGCCCUUCUUACCAACACCCAACCCACAAUCCAGGCGCACCCGUGCUCUCUGCCAUGCAACUCCAUCAACCUCCACCCCAUCUCCCCGAUCCAGCUCCAAUGCCCAGAAGAGGAAGACAGCUGAGGAUCCUUUGGACACUGACAUUAUGCAGCGGGUGCAUGACUUAAAAAAAACGGCAGCAGGAGUUACAGAAACAGCAGCAGUGUCCAGCAAAGGCCGUCUACGAUGUCAUGGUACCAUGGAUGAUGUCUAUUCCUGCUGAUCAACGUCUCCCGUUUGUCUCACCCCUAAACCUGUUGUGUGCUUUUUUUCUUAUUCAUACGUUAUGGUGGCGAGUAACUUACUUGGGGGGGUUGCAUGUUUUUUGUACUUAUUUCCUCAUUCAUAUGUUACUGGUUUUUACUUAGUUUUUUCUCUUAUUUUCGACUUUCAUCACACUUUUCACCUGUGUAUUGCAUUGUACUAUUUUCCUCUUGUGAUAGUAAAUAAAUAUCUAAAAGGAC